CAGAGCUGGAAGACACCAAACAUUCAACCGGAAAAACCCUUUGUAUUUAGCUAUCUUCUAGAUUGGACGUAUCAAGCUCUUCAAGAACUAUGUCUGGAGUGAAGGGACAGAAGAAAUGCCCAGAGCCUUGCCCACCACCCCAAAAGUGCCAGGAUCCUUGCAAGCAAGUGUGCCCUGAGCCAAAAUGUCCUCCUCCACAAGUGUGUGUACCAGUGCCUGUGUGCCCUGAACCGAAAUGUCCUCCUCCUCAAGUGCAAUGUAAACCAGUCCCACAAUGUCAGCAACAACACGGAAAGUAAUGCAUGAAGGAUGAAAGAUAGAAAUGCCACAAGAUAUAUACAUAAUAUGAAGAGCCUCUCUGAAUGGCAAUAAUAUAUUAUUAAAGGCUAUGCAAAAAUA